rnacentral:snRNA from 1 species
UUCUUGAUUUGGCAAUGAAUAUCCUAAAGUUGGAAUGAUACAGGAAAGAUGAUCAUGGCUCCUGGUACAAGGAUAACAUGGAAAUUUUUGAAGCAUACCAUAUUUUU